rnacentral:lncRNA from 1 species
AACAAACAACCUAAACUAUCCUAGAACGCUAGGAAGGACUCGCUUAGGGAAGAUGGACCAGCACAGGUCAACAUCCGAGAGUUCCCCAGCAGAGUCGCCAGCUGUCGCAUCCGCGAAAAAAACAACCGGCGGGCUGAAACAAAAACACAACACAGAGCCGCCACUGCGCGUUAUUUAUCCCAAAAUAGGGAAAGGAAACGCUCAGAGAAAC